GUUUAAAAAAAAAAAAAGAUUGGAAGAUUGAAAGAUAAAGGUUAGUGUAUGUAAGAUAAAAAGGGAAGUGCAAACAAACGAAUAUAUCAUUAUGUUAAAAAUGGAUUAAUAUUACGGUAAUAUUAAGACAAUUGUAACAUGUAAAACAUGUUCCCCUUCCCGAUCGAUCUACAGAGCACCGAGAUUCCGAUGAAAAUUAUUUUCGUUUAGUCGAAAUUGGAAACGAGAGCAUGAAUCUCGAAGAACCAGUGUUUUCAAUAUCGUCGAGAAUUUAUUUCCACGAUAUAAGAAUAUAAAAUUAAUAUUCGACCACACGAAAAAAGAAGUUACAAACGGCUGUAUGUAAUAUAAAUAAGAGCAGAAAAACAGAGAGAAAAUGUAUCUAUAUACACGUGACACAUUGUCACACAACGUGUGCAUGUAAAUUUAUUAUAAAUAAAUUAUUAUAAAGCAGUAA